rnacentral:rRNA from 1 species
UACAGAGGGUGCAAGCGUUAAUCGGAAUUACUGGGCGUAAAGCGUGCGCAGACGGUUGCGUAAGUCAGAUGUGAAAGCCCCGGGCUCAACCUGGGAAUUGCAUUUGAGACUGCGUAGCUAGGGUGCGGAAGAGGGAAGCGGAAUUUCCGGUGUAGCGGUGAAAUGCGUAGAUAUCGGAAGGAACACCAGUGGCGAAAGCGGCUUCCUGGCCUGUUCUUGACGCUGAGGCGCGAAAGCUAGGGUAGCAAACGGG